AAAAAAAAAAAAAAAAAAAAGAAACUAUCCACAUGAGAGCUAAGAGUCCGAUCUUCCACGCCUUUUGCUUUAAAUUGGACCAGCUAUAUAACAUUUUCUUUCCAUGGAAACCGGCCCAGAAACUAAACUCACUUCUGUGCUUUGUUUCACCCAUCAGGGUUUUGCAAUAGUGUUAGAUUUCUCAUAGGUCACUCACACAAAAAGGGAGGGAUGAGACACUUUUGUAGUACAGAGAUGCAGCUGAUCCAGGUUCAAUGUUAGUUGUUUAUGUUGGCUUGGCAACUGUUUCUUCUUUUGCCCCAAAGCUGAUGCAUCAUGAGUUGCUAGCUAAUACACUAAUGGAUGCAAUUGAGGAGGACCACCAAACUUCAGCAACUUAUAGUAAGCAAAUAAAAUUCUUCUCUUCUUUUUGCCACAGAGCUGAUGUAUCUAGGUUGUCGUAUGGAUGAUGUGUAUAAUCAUGUCUUUUGACAAUAGCUUCUUACUUUACUAAUAACAAAUUUGUACAAUUCUGUUGAGCAUCAACAACAAAUUAGAAAUUUAUAUUCUUCAUGACUUUUACAGUUUAAAAUCAGAGACAAAAGAUAAGUUUCGCUGUCAUGGAGUUAUUGGCUUCAUGAAAGCUUCCUCUGUAUCUACGUGCUUCCAGUAUAAUUUAAACUAACAGAUGAAUUGUACAAGUGAGCAAAUCUCUAGCUGACAAUUUUAUUAGAAACCAUCUCAUCUCUAACCUUGUAGCUUCCUUUGGUGAAUGUUUCUAAGAAUCUACUAUUGGCAUACCAAAGUCUGGGGUGGUGUAUGGGGAUUUUUUGGAAGGAAGUUAUCUCUAACCUUGUAGCUUCCUUUGGUGAAUGUUUCUAAGAAUCUACUAUUGGCAUACCAAAGUCUGGGGUGGUGUAUGGGGAUUUGACCACUUAACCACUUUAGGUUUAUAUGAGUAUGUGAGGUUUAGAAGGAACUUGCAAGACGGAGAGGUAGAUGAAUUUCAGAACUUGCUCAGACUGCUUCAUAGCCAAUAAGUUUCACAAGAUAGACAUGACGCAUGGAGAUGGGGCGCCGGGGUAAAUGGCAUUAUUCCCAUUAAGUCCUAUAUGGAUAGCUACUAUCUAGGGAGGAGUCGCUUUCCCACAUAAUUCGGUAUGGAUUCCUAGGGUACUGAUAAAGUUGUGCUUCUUUACUUGGCUAGCUACAAGAAGGGUGAUUUUGAUGGCGGAUAAUUUGAGAAAAGAAAGGUUACUUGUGUUAGUUGGUGCUUCAUGUGUAAAGAAUCAUGAGAAGACGUGAAUCACCUCCUUUUACAUUGCCGGAUAGCAUCUUAUUUGUUGGGACAAAUUUUGACUUAGAUUGGCAUAAAGUGGGUGAUGUCAGGCACGGUUAAGGAAACUACGCUUAGUUGGGCCAUUAGAAGACGGAAGAGAAGAUGAAGGGCUUGGAAUGUUGCUCCUCUUGCACUCAUGUGAUUUGCUUGGAGUGAGGAAUAUGUAGAGUGGGUGAUGUCAGGCACGGUUAAGGAAACUACGCUUAGUUGGACCUUUAGAAGACGGAAGAGAAGAUGAAGGGCUUGGAAUGUUGCUCCCCUUGCACUCAUGUGAUUUGCUUGGAGUGAGGAAUAGUAGAGCUUUUGAUGGAGUAGAAAAAGAUCUUGUAUACCUGAGGAGUAGCCUCUUUUCCCCUAUUUAUUUUUGGUGCAUCCAUGAGGUUCCUAUUUGUAUAGAAAAUUGGUUGUCAUUUCUAGAAAAACAUGUCUUUUUUGUAAGGUUUUCUACUUUUUGGUUACUCCUUGUAUAUUUUCUCUUUUUGUAAUGAAAUUAUUACCAUAUCAAAAAAAAGGUUUAUAUAUUUGUGAGGAAGUUGGUCGAUUAUCAGAGUCCAAAAGAAUUACAGUACAUUUUGGUUAAACAUAUGGACAUGAUAGUAUUCUAAUUCCUGCAUUGUUAUGUUGGCAUUUUAAAAGCAUUUGCUAUUUUAUCAUCUCAACAACAAGAAGAAAACAAAAAAAAAAAUUGCUUUUUUAUGUGUUCUUCCCGGUUGGAGAAUGAUUAAAACAUAAUAAAGAAUUUCUCCAUACUUUUCACACCCAAAUAAAACCUUAAAGAGCAGCCCGGUGCAUUAAGCUCAUGUUGUGCGCAGCGUAAGGGGAAGGGCCGGAGUUACCCUACAUUUCUGCAAGAGGUUGUUUCCACGGCUCGAACCUGUGACCUCCUGGACACAUGGCAACAACUUUACCAGUUUCCCAAUAAAACCUUAACUUAUCCCCCCCCCCAAAAAAAAAAAGAUUACAUAGAAUCUUGUAUAUCUUGGAUAAAAAAAGAUUCUUGGUUUCUUAUAAAAACAUACAUUUCCCGGUUUCACAUCUUAAGAUUUAAGAAGCACAGAAAAGACUUGAUAUGAAGUAUUCUUCAUGUGAACUAAACAUAUAUUUGUAUCUUAAAAUUCAUGUUAACUUUCUUAUAAAAUGAAUGAAAAAUCUCCAAUAAUAGCCUAAUUUUGAUCAGUGCUCACUCUUUAGUUUCCUUUUUAGAAUAAGCUUCAUAUUUCAGUUAGUCGGCAUAAGCACUUAAUGUAAUAAAUUUGGGGCUGUUUUUCCUAUAUAUUUUACCACGGUGCACUAAGUCAUACACUAGACAAGAAUUUUAAUGCACAAAUUAGUUCAUUUUGGAGUCAAUUUCUGCAAUUAAGGGAUUAGGUUUUGUUUUUUCCUAUCAAUUUUUUUAAAAUAAAUCUUCAAUUGCACCUAAAAAUUUUAACAUGCAGAUAAAACUUAGGUUUUUCGACAUUCAUUAUUGAUUACAAGUAAGCAAACGAUUGAAUAUUUUAAAACCACAAAAAUUACCAACAUGCAGAUAAAAAUUAGGUUUUUCGACAUUCAUUAUUGAUUACAAGUAAGAAAACGAUUGAAUAUUUUAAAACCAUAAAAAUUACCUGAGAAUUUUUGACGAUCAAGGUCGUCAAGCAACUUUUAGCUAUAUGAGAAAUCUUCUUAAUAUCCUGCAUUACCCAAAACCCCAGACAAAAAAGAAAGUUAAAAAAUUAGGAUAAAAAAACCACAGUUUCAGAAAAUUCAAAAACCCAAAAACAAAAAAGGUUCUCUCGUUUACAAAGUGAAAAUGAAAAGAGAAAGAUAUACCAGAGAUAAUUGAUUAGAGAGUGAAGAGUGAACAAGGAAGAUGAGUCCUAAAGGAGAUUUUGUUGUGAAGUGAGAGUUAGGAGGACAAUGAGUCAGAGAGAUUCCUGAAUUCGAUAUGUGGAUUUUCACGCAUU
rnacentral:lncRNA from 1 species